AGAACGAACGCUGGCGGCGGGCCUCAUACAUGCAAGUCGAGCGCGAAAGUCCGCAAGGAUGAGUAAAGCGGCGCACGGGUGAGUAACACGUGGGUAAUCUACCUUUUGGAUUGGAAUAACCUGUCGAAAGACGGGCUAAUGCCGAGUAAGCUUUCUUGAACGUGAAGUUCGAGCAAGGAAAGAUGGCGCAAGCUAUCGCCGAAAGAUGAGCCUGCGUCCCAUUAGUUAGUUGGUGGGGUAAUGGCUUACCAAGACAAUGAUGGGUACCUGGUUUGAGAGAAUGAUCAGGCACACUGGAACUGAAACACGGUCCAGACUCCUACGGGAGCAGCAGUAGGGAAUAUUGCGCAAUGGAACGAAAGUCUGACGCAGCCACGCCGCGUGAGUGAGGAAGCCUUCGGUUGUAAAGCUGUGUCGCCUAGGAAAAACGCGUAAGUGGGUAAAGUUCCAGUAGCGUGAUGGACAGGAAAGAAGCACCGGCAAACUCUGU
rnacentral:rRNA from 1 species